rnacentral:lncRNA from 1 species
UCACUCUAAUGAAAAAAAUCAAGAUAGAAACGAAGCGAGAAAACUCACAGUAGAACGAGGCACAACUCUGUUGCGGAAGCAAAAACGAGGGUUUGCCAACGCCGAAAGCGUGGCCGCGAGGCUUGUUCCUCCGCAAUCCCAAUCCGCCACAAAGAACCUUGAGCCACGAAACACGAAUUAGCUACUGUAAAUGGAUUGAAAACGAAAGGAAAUGUGAAACUUACGGUGUUAGGGCACAAUGCUUGAAUGCUCUCUGUCGCAAUGCUUGAAUGCCUCUGUCAUCGCAAUGCUCGAAUGCCUCCGUCGUCGCAAUGCUGGACUGCCUCUGUCGUC